rnacentral:rRNA from 1 species
UACGUAGGGGCAAGCGUUGUCCGGAAUCAUUGGCGUAAAGAGCGUGUAGGCGGCUUGGCAAGUCUGGUGUGAAUACUGCGGCUCAACCGCAAGCGGUCACUGGAACUGUCUCGCUAGAGUCCGGAAGAGGAGAGCGGAAUUCCUGGUGUAGCGGUGGAAUGCGCAGAUAUCAGGAAGAACACCCGUGGCGAAGGCGGCUCUCUGGGACGGUACUGACGCUGAGACGCGAAAGCGUGGGAGCGAACAGG